rnacentral:rRNA from 1 species
CAAAUAUUCUCCUUCCAUCUUAAUUUUACACCCAGACAAGAUUUAACUGAGCAUGAAAAUUAUCAUCUUCUGACAUGCAGUUCAGUUUUGCAUUUACAGGCGGGCAUGAAUUAAACUGAAUGUUUUUGCACCAACGAUUAAUCGAAUCUUAUCUAACAUAUAAACAAAUUGAUUAACAAGAGGAACAAAAUAAAUGCCUUGCUUAAAGUGCCACCCAUCACUCUUCUUUCCUUUGCUUCCUCUCCUUCCUCUCUUGCCUUUCAUCUUCCUCCUCUCCUCUGAAAGGGACAGACAGAGACAGAGACAGAGGAGAGCAUAAUUAGUUAACUUGCUUCCAUCUUCCUCCCCUUGUCUAUAAACUUGCCUUGCCAUCACAUAACACCACCACCAAGCUAAACCAUCCAGGCCUCCAUCUCCACCUCAGCUCAGCCAUGGCCUCCUCCUCCUCCUCCUCCUACAUGCCCCUCAGGAGGUCCGACAGCGUCGCCGACAUGAUGCCCGAGGCGCUGCGCCAGAGCCGCUACCAGAUGAAGAGGUGCUUCCAAAGGUAGGUACCACAAGUCCACAACACAAACACUCCUUUCUUUCUUUCUUUCUCUGAAAUGUAUGACGGAUCCUUCCUUGCUCUGCAGGUAUGUCUCCAAGGGCAGGAGGCUGAUGAGGAACCAGCAGCUGAUGGAGGAGCUGGAGGCGUCGGCGGGCGACGACAAGCCCGAGAAGGCCAGGCUCGCCGAGGGCUUCCUCGGCUACGUCAUCUGCUCCACGCAGGAGGCCGUCGUGCUCCCUCCCCUCGUCGCCUUCGCCGUCCGGACCAACCCCGGCGUCUGGGAGUUCAUCAGGGUGCACUCCGGGGACCUCUCCGUCGAGGAGAUCACGCCAUCCGCUUACCUCAAGUGCAAGGAGACCCUCUACGACGAAAAAUGGGCGCGCGACGACAACUCGCUGGAGGUCGAUUUCGGCGCGCUGGACCUCUCCACGCCUCAUCUGACGCUGCCGUCGUCCAUCGGCAACGGGAUGCAGUUCGUCUCCCGGUUCAUGUCGUCAAAGCUGAGCGGCAAGCCGGAGAGCAUGAAGCCGCUGCUGGACUACCUGCUAAAUCUGAACUACCGCGGCGAGAAACUGAUGAUCAGCGACACCAUCGACACCGCCGACAAGCUUCAGACAGCAUUGCUUCUUGCAGAGGUCUUCGUCGCAGGCCUGGAGAAGAGCACACCUUACCAGAAUUUUGAACAAAAGUUUCAGGAGUGGGGAUUGGAGAAGGGGUGGGGUGACACUGCCGAAACAUGCAGAGAAACACUCAACUUCCUCUCCGAAGUGCUCCAGGCGCCGGAUCCGAUCAACAUGGAGAAGUUCUUCAGCAGGGUGCCGUCGGUGUUCAGCAUCGUGAUCUUCUCCAUCCACGGUUACUUUGGUCAAGAGAAGGUCCUUGGGUUGCCGGAUACCGGCGGUCAGGUAGUUUACAUCCUGGACCAAGUUAGAGCUCUUGAAGAGGAAUUGUUGCAAAGAAUCAAGCGGCAGGGCCUGAAUGUUACCCCGAAGAUUCUUGUGUUAACAAGACUCAUACCGGACGCAAAGGGAACCAAGUGCAACGUUGAGCUUGAACCGGUCGAGCACACGAAGCACUCGAGCAUCCUCCGCGUGCCAUUCAAGACUGAUGAUGGGAAAGAUCUUCGCCAGUGGGUCUCCCGGUUUGACAUUUACCCUUACCUGGAGAGAUAUGCCCAGGAUUCUUCUGUCAAGAUUCUUGACAUACUUGAGGGGAAGCCAGACAUGGUCAUCGGCAAUUACACCGAUGGCAAUCUAGUAGCAUCCCUCUUGUCGAGCAAACUCGGGGUCACCCAGGGAACAAUUGCACAUGCUCUUGAGAAGACAAAGUACGACGAUUCGGAUGUCAAGUGGAGAGAAAUGGAUCACAAGUACCAUUUCUCCUGCCAGUUCACUGCCGACAUGAUCGCCAUGAACACUAGCGACUUCAUCAUCGCUAGCACCUACCAAGAAAUAGCCGGAAGCAAAGACAAACCUGGGCAGUAUGAGAGCCACUACGCCUUCACAAUGCCAGGGCUGUGUCGCUACGCCACAGGCGUCAACGUCUUCGAUCCCAAGUUCAACAUCGCCGCCCCUGGCGCUGAUCAAUCCGUUUACUUUCCAUUCACACAAAAGCAGGCUCGGCUGACAGACUUGCACCCCCAAAUCGAGGAGCUACUCUACAGCAAGGAGGACAAUGAUGAGCACUUAGGGUACCUAGGGGACAGAAGCAAGCCAAUCAUCUUCUCGAUGGCAAGGCUCGACAAGGUGAAGAACAUUACCGGGCUGGUCGAAUGGUAUGGUGAGAACAGGAAGCUCAGGGACCUUGUCAACCUGGUCAUCGUUGGGGGGCUCCUGGAACCUUCACAGUCAAACGACAGAGAAGAGAUCGAGGAGAUCAACAAGAUGCACAGCUUGAUGGACAAGUACCAGCUCAAGGGACAGAUCCGCUGGAUCAAAGCACAGACCGAGCGCGUGCGCAACGGCGAGCUGUACCGUUGCAUUGCAGAUACCAGGGGGGCCUUCGUUCAGCCUGCACUCUAUGAGGCAUUUGGACUAACGGUCAUCGAGGCGAUGAACUGCGGGCUGCCAACCUUUGCAACAAAUCAAGGAGGACCAGCGGAAAUCAUCGUCAAUGAGGUUUCGGGUUUCCACAUCAACCCGCUCAACGGCAAGGAGGCAAGCGACAAGAUAGCAGCCUUCUUUCAGAAAUGCAAGGAGGACCCCACCUACUGGAACAAGAUGUCCACUGCCGGACUCCAGCGCAUCUAUGAGUGUUACACGUGGCAGAUUUACGCGACUAAAGUUCUGAACAUGGGGUCGAUGUACGGCUUCUGGAGGACUCUGAACAAGGAAGAGAGGCAGGCCAAACAGCUCUACCUACAGAUGUUCUACAACCUUCAGUUCAGGCAGCUGGUCAAGACUGUCCCUAAGGUAGGCGAACAACCCGCACGGCCUACGGCGGGAAGCACGGCGCCUGCUAGGAUUGCACCGAGGCCAAGAGAAAGAAGGCCGCAGACGAGGAUUCAGAGGAUCGCGACCAGCUUACUCGGCCCGGUGCUCCCGACGUCCAACUUCUCCCAGGAUGCAGCCUGAAGUGAAGACCAAACACCAUAAACCAGAAAUGUGCCCUGUGUUCCUGUGUGUGUGCCAUUGAUUUGGAAAGUUCCAAUGAAACUGGAACUAAUCAUGAUGAUUAUGAGAGUAAUGCAAAGUGUGAAGAAAAGGAGAAAUGUGAGCCCUGCACUCAUUAUGAUAGUGAGUGAAGCAACAGCAGUUAACUGCUUCUGCG